rnacentral:rRNA from 1 species
AGAGUUUGCUUCUGGCUCAGGAUGAACGCCGGCGGUGUGCCUAAUACAUGCAAGUCGUACGCACUGGCCCAACUGAUUGAUGGUGCUUGCACCUGAUUGACGAUGGAUCACCAGUGAGUGGCGGACGGGUGAGUAACACGUAGGUAACCUGCCUCGGAGCGGGGGAUAACAUUUGGAAACAGAUGCUAAUACCGCAUAACAACAAAAGCCACAUGGCUUUUGUUUGAAAGAUGGCUUUGGCUAUCACUCUGGGAUGGACCUGCGGUGCAUUAGCUAGUUGGUAAGGUAACGGCUUACCAAGGCAAUGAUGCAUAGCCGAGUUGAGAGACUGAUCGGCCACAAUGGAACUGAGACACGGUCCAUACUCCUACGGGAGGCAGCAGUAGGGAAUCUUCCACAAUGGGCGCAAGCCUGAUGGAGCAACACCGCGUGAGUGAAGAAGGGUUUCGGCUCGUAAAGCUCUGUUGUUGGAGAAGAACGUGCGUGAGAGUAACUGUUCACGCAGUGACGGUAUCCAACCAGAAAGUCACGGCUAACUACGUGCCAGCAGCCGCGGUAAUACGUAGGUGGCAAGCGUUAUCCGGAUUUAUUGGGCGUAAAGCGAGCGCAGGCGGUUGCUUAGGUCUGAUGUGAAAGCCUUCGGCUUAACCGAAGAAGUGCAUCGGAAACCGGGCGACUUGAGUGCAGAAGAGGACAGUGGAACUCCAUGUGUAGCGGUGGAAUGCGUAGAUAUAUGGAAGAACACCAGUGGCGAAGGCGGCUGUCUGGUCUGCAACUGACGCUGAGGCUCGAAAGCAUGGGUAGCGAACAGGAUUAGAUACCCUGGUAGUCCAUGCCGUAAACGAUGAGUGCUAGGUGUUGGAGGGUUUCCGCCCUUCAGUGCCGGAGCUAACGCAUUAAGCACUCCGCCUGGGGAGUACGACCGCAAGGUUGAAACUCAAAGGAAUUGACGGGGGCCCGCACAAGCGGUGGAGCAUGUGGUUUAAUUCGAAGCUACGCGAAGAACCUUACCAGGUCUUGACAUCUUGCGCUAACCUUAGAGAUAAGGCGUUCCCUUCGGGGACGCAAUGACAGGUGGUGCAUGGUCGUCGUCAGCUCGUGUCGUGAGAUGUUGGGUUAAGUCCCGCAACGAGCGCAACCCUUGUUACUAGUUGCCAGCAUUAAGUUGGGCACUCUAGUGAGACUGCCGGUGACAAACCGGAGGAAGGUGGGGACGACGUCAGAUCAUCAUGCCCCUUAUGACCUGGGCUACACACGUGCUACAAUGGACGGUACAACGAGUCGCAAGCUCGCGAGAGUAAGCUAAUCUCUUAAAGCCGUUCUCAGUUCGGACUGUAGGCUGCAACUCGCCUACACGAAGUCGGAAUCGCUAGUAAUCGCGGAUCAGCAUGCCGCGGUGAAUACGUUCCCGGGCCUUGCACACACCGCCCGUCA